GUUGGUAGCUUUUCUUUUUAGCCCCGUACUAGCUUAUUACUAGCAGAUUUAAACUGUGGAAAAAAUAUAAUUGGACAUGUUAUAAGUUGACUGAGCAUCUUCCAGUGAAAACCAUUAUCUGAUCCUCAGAUUGAGCCAGUACUCCAAAAACUUGCCACCUCAAACUUGUUCAGUAUUGAUAAAAGACAACAUGGAGAGAGUGAGCUCUAGCACAUGUCAAAACUGUAUCUUUUCCUACUUGAAAUUUUUAAACUGUAAAUGAGAAUGGUAGAUGGCUAUUACUUUAGAAAAAAAGAUGAGGUUUUGGUUCUCAGAGAAAAAGAAAGUGAGCCUUCCUCAUACAGCACAAGCCCACUCCCAAGUCAAAGGAAAGUGAGGAGCUGAAGGUGCCAAAGACCAGUGCAGCAAGCAGGGGAACCUCUGUUACACUCAUGCAGUAAAGGCGCCAUCUUGGUUCCCUGGGAAUGCUCCAAGGAGACAAGAGUCCCCCCACCUACCCAGUGCUCUGCAUUGUCCACGUGAUCCUAGAGCAGUAGAGAGAAGGCCCAGGUGUGAGCAGGACAUGUUCACACAAAGAUCUUAAGACUGUCACUUGACUGUCCUCACCCUCCUGAUAAGAACUAGAGCUUGUAACAAUGCUUUUUCCUCUUUGAAUACCAAAGGCGAUUAAAGUCAGGUACAAACGACUGCCAGUGUCAUGUUUGAUUUUGUUAAUAGAAUUUUUAAAAUAAUUUUUUCCAAAAUCUACCAUUAUCCCAUAUUUUGCUUACUUUUUGUGUGUUUUCCUCCAUCGUUCAUAUACUUGGUGUUUGUAAACCUUAGUACUUUAGACUCCAUAUCAUUGUGUUUAUAAACCCUGAAGAUAACCCAGAAAUGCUCAUUAACUGAUGUCUCUCCAAAAAGCUGGUACCUCACCUUCAGCUUUGGGCAGAGUCGUGCAGAUUAAAUAAUACAUAAAAGUAGGGACUAUUGAACACCUUCUAAUUCCAGAUUUAUUGCUCAUUUUAGAAUCACACCUUUUGGUUCAAACCUGAGUUUUAGAAACUAAUGAACCAAUAUGAAGCUCGUAAAACUAAGAAUGAGCCCUUCACCAAGAAGUCUCACUGCAGAACAGCAAGUUCCGAGGUGAAGGUCUUUCUUCAGGUGGGCUGCACAUUUUGUGCGCCUCUAACACCAGCCUGUCGGUGUCGUCCAGCUGGGGUAUGUGCGCAGGAAAGCCUGGGUGUUAGAGGAACGCAUUCUUUUUGCAGAAUAUUGACUACCUGAUUCCCUAUGAUGUCAUCUCGGGCGCCACGGCUUCCCUUGGCAGGUUUUAAACAAGCAGUCUGAGGUCACGAUCCUCAGCUUCUCCUCCUUUUUGCUCUUCAUUACCAAAGUGUUUGUCAGCACUCUGAAUUUGUCGGUAAAGACUGACAAUGAGUCUCCCUUCAGGCUGGAGUUCUCUGAGCGAGUGCAUUCGUGAGAGAAUGAGGGAACAAACAGGUACAGAGCAUGUCAUACGCGUCACGCUCCGCCUGGCACCACCCCGGCCUUACAGCAUGUCACAUGAUUCCAGUGGCAUCUUCUGUAUGAGAGUGUUCCAUAGCAUUUUAAAUAUUCCCCAAAAUGAAUCAUGUUUCAAAAUUCUUAAUUUUAUAUUUCAUUUAAAUUAAAAAGGGAGAUAAAAGGUUUAUAAUAUAUUUUAAACACUGUUACUAUAUAAUACUAACAACAAAAAUUGUAGUUAAUAACUAAAGACUCUUGAAAAAUGUCAAAGAAAUAUUUGAUUUCUGUUGCAUCUUUGACUAAAAUAUUUACUUCAGAAAUAAAAUCAUUUGUAUUUUGUUAUUACUUUAAUUACAUGAUUAAGAUCAAUACUUUGUAGAAGUCUGUGUUACUUUAUAUC
rnacentral:lncRNA from 1 species